rnacentral:rRNA from 1 species
CCUACGGGAGGCAGCAGUGAGGAAUAUUGGACAAUGGGCGCAAGCCUGAUCCAGCCAUGCCGCGUGCAGGAUGACGGUCCUAUGGAUUGUAAACUGCUUUUAUACAGGAAGAAACACCCCGACGUGUCGGGACUUGACGGUACUGUAAGAAUAAGGAUCGGCUAACUCCGUGCCAGCAGCCGCGGUAAUACGGAGGAUCCAAGCGUUAUCCGGAAUCAUUGGGUUUAAAGGGUCCGUAGGCGGUUAGAUAAGUCAGUGGUGAAAGCCCAUCGCUCAACGGUGGAACGGCCAUUGAUACUGUUUAACUUGAAUUAUUAGGAAGUAACUAGAAUAUGUAGUGUAGCGGUGAAAUGCUUAGAGAUUACAUGGAAUACCAAUUGCGAAGGCAGGUUACUACUAAUGGAUUGACGCUGAUGGACGAAAGCGUGGGUAGCGAACAGGAUUAGAUACCCUGGUAGUCCACGCCGUAAACGAUGGAUACUAGCUGUUGGAAGCAAUUUCAGUGCUAAGCGAAAGUGAUAAGUAUCCCACCUGGGGAGUACGUUCGCAAGAAUGAAACUUAAGGAAUUGACGGCUGAGACNGCGAGACGACGACGAGGGAGGAGG